UGUGUUCACUUUCAGCUCUUUGAGCAUUUUUAGAACAAUUAUUUUGAAUUCUUUGUCAGACAGUUCUUGGAUAUCCAUUCUUUUGGACCAGUUACUAGCAGCUUAAUGUCUGUAUUCCUUAAGUGGAGUUAUGUUCCCCUUAUUCUUAAUGAUUCCUGAGGCCCAUGUAGGUGCCUGUGCAUUAGAAGAACUAGACUUUAGGAACUGACUUUGGUAAGGGAAGACAUUCACUUGCAGGUGGGGGCAUGCUGAAGUGUGCUGUGACCCCAGGUCUAGUAGUAGAGGGCUCCAACUAUGGGAGCAUGUGGCAAUACCAGGUCCGGGGGAGGCAUGAUAUCUCUUCGGCUCAGGCCGCUGGAGUCCCCAGCAUCAACAACUAUGUGUGCAUGGUGAGGAUGGGGAGAGGAGUUAGCAAUGGUUGUAACAGCUGUUGUGAUAUUCAGUGGUACCUCCAGGUCCAGCACCUAGGGGUCAGAGCUGGUGGUGUGUACACUCUGAGCUGUGGGAGCCAGCUGCAGGUGCCUAUGUAAUGGCAGGAACCAGUUGCAGAUACACAUAUCCAGGGCAGGCAGCAAGGGCCAGGGACAACUCUGGGUUCACUGACAGCUACAGAGGCCCUAAGUGUCAAUAGGAUUUUCUGUAGUGCAAUCUCCCACUGCAUGUGUGUACUUCAGUAGAGACUGGUAUCAGGAGUUGGGUCAGAGGAUUACAGAUCACAGAUGGAGGGGCUAGCUAUACAUUAGUACAGUGGUACAGGCCAGUUAUAAAAUGCAAGGCCUGAUCUGGGCACAUAAGCAGCUAUGGGGGCCCAUGGCUGCACAGUCUCUGUGGUGUGUGCACCGGGGGGUGUGCACUACAGUAAAGGCUUGUGAUGGCUGUCUGGUCAGCAGCAUGCAAGGGAACAGCUGGAGGGUCUAGCCCUGAGUACACACAUAGCAGUCAGUGGGGGGGAUGGUCAACAGUGAACAUCUAGGCUGAUGCAGUCACAGAGGUCCGAGUUAGCUGCCAGUGUGGAUCCCAGGCUCUGGCAGGGGCAGAGUGGUGGGGGUGGUGAUGGAGCAACAGGGACUCAGGUGGCUGGCAUCAGUGAACACAGAUACCCAUAGAGCCAAAGCUGGUGAACCAUGCAGAGGGGUCUGGCAGCUGUGCUGGCCAUUUGUUCUUUCUUUAGGGUGAAAGCUGCUGGGUCUGUCUGUGUAGCAGGUCACUGUGAACCACAAUUGGUCCUGCUGCAUGGCUGCUCUCAGUAGCCCCUGCUUUCCUUUUUGUUCCUAGCUAUCUCUAUACAUCUCAGUUUUGCCUGUCCGGGUGGGGCAGAACUGAAGCAGGUCUUUUCUGUGGUGCCAUGACAGGCUGGAGAAGCUAGUUGCUUAGCCUGCUUUUCCUUUCCUGAGCAGAGGAGCUCUUUCUAACUGGGAAGUUCCCACUUGGCCCUGAGCAUACCGCUUGGCAAGGCAGGGUGAUGCAGACAGAAUGAAGCUGUCCUCCUCCUCGUGCAGUUAUGCUGAGUUUUUUUGUUGUUGUUGUUCCACUGUGUUGCUAAAAUUUCUUAAGUGGACCCCAGAGCUGUUUUUGUUCAUAGCUAGCUAUCUAAUUAUUGCUCUUUAUGUGGGGACAGGAGCUGGGGUCUCCUGUGUCACCAUUUUGAUGAUAUCACUCUCCUCAUCAUUAUCAUUAUCAUUAUCAUUAUAAUCUUUGUAACUUGAUCACAUGGCACCAGGAUUGGGCAAAAUGUAUGUACAUCAGCAUUUAUCAGUUGGAUGAACACGUGGUUGGAUAGGUGAAUGGAGGAACAAAUUUACUUAAACAAAGUUAAACAAAUAUUUUUUAGAAGUUCUAAAAGAAAAAGUUGCAAAGAAAUGGCUGGCAGGAUUAGUGCACACUAGAUUCAGAGUUUAAAAUGAACUUUAACGUCUGCACUAGAGAGUCUGUCCCAAGUGAAGAUUGCUGAGUUAGGCAAUAGUAGAAACUUCAGCAUAAGGAUAAACUUAGAAAGUGUUCCUACUCUUGAGUAGUGGCCCGGCAGUGCUGGUGUCCUUCCAGCUAGUAAACAUGGAAUAUUGCUAUGUGGCUUCUGAUGGAAUUUACCAUGGUCUGAUAGGAAAUAAUUCACAUGAGCAAAACCGAAGCGAAAAAAGCUGAGAUUACUAACUGCUGGCCAAGUAGAGCAGACAGUGAGAUCAGCGUGGUCACCACAGGCCAAACCACUAACUCCCUUCUCUUGGUAAGUAAGCACUGCCUGGAGCAUUAUAAUCAACUAUGGUUGGAUUAUUUUAUUGUAAAAGUGGCUACUCAGGGUUUCUCCAUGUUUUUACUUUCAUCUAGAACUCUCAGUUGAAUAUUACUUUAUUACUCAGUUCCCAGGGCCAUACACUUUCCCUGUGCAAUAUGUUCCAGGAACAGGAGGUUUCCUAUUUGGAAAAGAGGUACUCAUGUAAAGCCCUAGCGGAUACUUCCCCCUUGCUCUCCCUCCGCAGAGAUUCAUAAGGGCUUACAGCCUCUGUGUCAGCGUGAGCUGCAGGGUUUAAGACAUGCAGCCAUGUUCAUGUCUGUGCCUGAGACUGGUCCUUUCCAUUCAUCUAAUCAUGCCUCCGAUAGACCUUUGGCAAGUGGGUUUCAGAGCGUCCCAAUAAAGAAACUUGUGAAACUUUCCCCCACUUAUUUUUAGGCUCCUUCCAUCUGUCUUUGGAAAGAGGUAGAAACAAACAUCUGAGGCAGCACAGUGAGAGCUCUGGGCAGUGCCAGGGUCUGAGGCUGCAGUUCUGGCUCUGUUUGUUCAGCUGUGCGGCCCACCUGUAGGCUGCCCCAGAGCAGAGAUGUUGUCAUUAGAGACACACACACACCUCCUCACCACAGAAGGACAGACCAGAUCUCAUGUCUGGAAAGAGUGGGUCACUUCUGUAGCGACAGACUUGACCGAUUCAGUUACUCAAAGCAACUACACUACUGUGCCGCCUCUGCUAUCUUGCUGCCUCUACUCCCCUUCCUGGCUGACCUAGCUACACGCGUGCACUCCCUCCACGAGGGACUUCUCUGUCAGAGGGCAUCUUGUUUCCCCAGACCUUGCUUCAUGCUUUGGCCUUGGCCCUUUACUGGAAGCUCCAUCUCCCUCGAACCUUGACCCGAAUAGGACAGCGAGGCCUUGGUGUGAAGUGGACCUGCCUCCAUGGCAGCCAUCACUGUCUUCCUCUUCUUGUUUCUUCUUUGAACACCAGUGCCAGGCACCAGCCACUCUCACUGCCUCUCCUUACCACCAUCCUCACUGCUGCGAGAGCCACAGGCUGCUCCUGCCACACUGAAUUCUCAGUCUUCCACACUUUGGCGAUGAAAAUGUCAGCAGGCCACCUGGCAAGUGGCAGACCAGCGGGCCGGUGGUGCAGAUCACCUUGAAUGAUAUGGCAGGGAGCACAGGACACAGCAGAAGCCCCAAGAAGUCGUCCCCAUGUGGAGAGGCCAUUGGUAAUGGCAGUGAGGUUUGGUUCUACUCCAGGAAACAUUUUCAAAAGGUAGGAAUUUACCCUGAGGGUUAUUUUGCUUCCUCUUUGUAUUAAACACGAAACUCCCCUUUCAGUCUUGGUGAUUGGUCCUUUGGAUUUCCCCAGUUACAUAUGCCUACUUGAAAAAUCCAGAAACGUGUGGAAAGCUUUGAUGUGCAUAGUGCUUUCGAGCGUGGGCUCCAGAGCUGGACUGUACCCUGCUCGUACCACUAGAGCAGGCUCUUCCACUAAUACCUACUUGUUACUUCCGUUCGUACCCGACCUGUUCAGGCCUCUGUUGCCUCGUCCGUAAAAUGGGAAUAACAAAAUUGUCGAUCUCCUUGUUGUGAGGAUUACAUGAGUUAAUACUCAUCGAACCCUCAGAACAGAGCCUGACACAUCCUACAGCCCUGAUUAGGCAGAGAGCCACACCAGCCCCCCUGUCCAACUGUUAAGCAUAACCUCUGCAAAACCUGCAAAAACAGGGAGCCUGAACAGUGACCCUGGCAGGCUCAGAGCCCAGCCUGUGAUCCUGCCUGCUUGCUGAACACAACCUUUGGCCUUGCACAGGCAGGGAGCCCUGAUGGUGACUGGACUCGAUUGCAGAGUAUAGUGGGCCCAACCUGAUGAAGGAACCCAGACGUCAGCGCUGCCUGGCCGGAGAGCACAGUCUCUAGCCCCACCCAACUGCAGGAUACAGCUGGAGGCCCCUUCUGACCACAGGACCUGGCCAGCAACCUUGCUUUUACAUGGCUGGCAAGUUUCUGUUGGCUGUUCCCAAGAGGCUUCAGUUCUCAGGACUUUUCUGCAGGACUGCUGGAGUGUCCUCAUGACAUGAUGGUUGGCUUGCCCUAGAGCAAGUGAUCCAGAUGAAAGCAAGGUGGAAGCUACAAUGUCUUUGUGACCUAACCUCAGAAAUAAUAAACUGUCAUUUCCUCAGUAUCCUACUGGUAACACUGAUCAGUACUCUCCAGCAUGGGAAGGAAUUUCAUAAAGACAUGAAACCAGGAGGUGAGGGUCAGUGGGGUUCAUUUUGAAGCCUGGCUACAACAAUCUGCCUUAUUGACCCUAACCCUGCCACAUACAAAAUAUAUUCACUGCUUCCAAAUCCUUCUUGCUCCUCAGACCUCAGAUGGCAGGGGAUCCCUGGGUGGCUCAGUGGUUUAGCGCCUGCCUUUGGCCCAGGGUGCGGUCCUGGAGUCCCGGGGUCAAGUCCCGCGUCAGGCUCUUGGCAUGGAGCCUGCUUCUCUCUCUGCCUGUGUCACUGCAGAUAUUCUACAAAAAAAAUAUGUUAUAAUUUAUACAAUUUUCCUUAGAAUUGGACAUGCGGUUUUUUAUACUUGUUUCCCCCCACAAAAGUGUAAUUACAAAGACAUCCCUACUGUUCUGGAGACAUUUUUGUGAUGUAUUUUUAAAUUUUAAAAAGUGGGAUGUGAUCUUAUGUACGUGUGUGUAUGUAUGGAUAUAUAGUAUUUUAAAAUAGAAUUGGGAACUGCUAGCAGAGAUUAUCUUUGGAUGAUAGGAUGCAGAUGACUUUUUCCCCUUUAUGAUUUCAUGCUUUUAACAGUGAAUAUGUACUACUAUUAUCAUCAGAAAAAGCAUUAAAAAAAAAAAAAA